AUGUGUCCAGUAAAUAAAGAAAGUCAAAGGUAUACUUUCUUCCUCCUGCCGUUUCUUCCCUCAUCUCCCAAAAAUGGACAUCUUCAGCCAUGGCAAAGAUUGAUUCAGGAAUCCGCCGGGGUGUGUCGCCCAGUCGCCGUUAGUUCCAAUCCCACGCGCGGCGCCGACUGCCCUCCCUCUCCCCACUCGCCGUUCCCACAAAAUGAAACCCUCGAUCCAACCACUGGUCAUACAUUCUGUUCCCAGUCCUUCAAUUUCUCAGCGAUAAAUCUUACAAAGCAACCACUAUGGGAUACAUCAGAUGUGCAAUGA
rnacentral:rRNA from 1 species